rnacentral:rRNA from 1 species
GACGAACGCUGGCGGCGUGCCUAAUACAUGCAAGUUGAGCGCUGAAGGUUGGUACUUGUACCAACUGGAUGAGCAGCGAACGGGUGAGUAACGCGUGGGGAAUCUGCCUUUGAGCGGGGGACAACAUUUGGAAACGAAUGCUAAUACCGCAUAAAAACUCUAAACACAAGUUUUAAGUUUGAAAGAUGCAAUUGCAUCACUCAAAGAUGAUCCCGCGUUGUAUUAGCUAGUUGGUGAGGUAAAGGCUCACCAAGGCGAUGAUACAUAGCCGACCUGAGAGGGUGAUCGGCCACAAUGGGACUGAGACACGGCCCAAACUCCUACGGGAGGCAGCAGUAGGGAAUCUUCGGCAAUGGACGAAAGUCUGACCGAGCAACGCCGCGUGAGUGAAGAAGGGUUUCGGAUCGUAAAACUCUGUUGGUAGAGAAGAACGUUGGUGAGAGUGGAAAGCUCAUCAAGUGACGGUAACUACCCAGAAAGGGACGGCUAACUACGUG